AGUUCGGACUGUAGGCUGAAACUCGCCUGCACGAAGCUGGAAUUGCUAGUAAUCGCGGAUCAGCAUGCCGCGGUGAAUGCGUUCCCGGGUCUUGUACACACCGCCCGUCACACCACGGAAGUUGGGGGCGCCCGAAGCCACUUAGCUAACCCAUUUGGGAAGCGAGUGUCGAAGGUGAAAUCAAUAACUGGGGUGAAGUCGUAACAAGGUACC
rnacentral:rRNA from 1 species